rnacentral:rRNA from 1 species
AGUGAACGCUGGCGGUAGGCCUAACACAUGCAAGUCGAACGGCAGCACAGUAAGAGCUUGCUCUUACGGGUGGCGAGUGGCGGACGGGUGAGGAAUACAUCGGAAUCUACUUUUUCGUGGGGGAUAACGUAGGGAAACUUACGCUAAUACCGCAUACGACCUACGGGUGAAAGCAGGGGAUCUUCGGACCUUGCGCGAUUGAAUGAGCCGAUGUCGGAUUAGCUAGUUGGCGGGGUAAAGGCCCACCAAGGCGACGAUCCGUAGCUGGUCUGAGAGGAUGAUCAGCCACACUGGAACUGAGACACGGUCCAGACUCCUACGGGAGGCAGCAGUGGGGAAUAUUGGACAAUGGGCGCAAGCCUGAUCCAGCCAUACUGCGUGGGUGAAGAGGGCCUUCGGGUUGUAAAGCCCUUUUGUUGGGAAAGAAAAGCAGCAGGUUAAUACCCCGCUGUUCUGACGGUACCCAAAGAAUAAGCACCGGCUAACUUCGUG